AUAUGCUUGUUCCAAAGAUUAAGCCAUGCAUGCCUUAGAUAAAAAGUAGCUUGAACUCAAAUCUGCGAAAGGCUCCGUAUAUCUGUUGAAAACUUAGGCGGUAAAGCUGGAGAUGGAAUCGGAUUGGGUCGGCAACGGACAACCGAGGAAAUCCUUUGGCUAAUACGCUAAACAAAAAACUUGAACACAGAAGGUGUCUGCACAGAAAGGCCCCUUCUAAGCAAUUGGGGGGAGUAUUAACACACUUCCUGUGGGUCGUGGGGGGAGGCGCGUUGAGGGCAGAGUGCCGUUCUCGAAACCCUGUCUGGAGACAGGGGAGUACAGGGUGGUCAGCAUUUUUGGCUUUUAGCCCCCUUAAACAAGGGGCGGCCGGGGGUGCCUGCCUCCACGUGGAAAGAACCCGCGAGUACCUCACUGGGGGCCUGGAAGGUCAACAGCAUCUGACGUGUUCUUCAGACCUAUCAACCACAUGCAUGGGGCACGGCCCCACAUGGUUUCAACAGGUACAGAGGAUCAGGGUUCGGUCCUGGAGAGGUAGCCUAAGAGAUCGCUACUACUUCUAAGGAAGGCAGCAGGCGCGCAACGUUCCCCAUGGGGAAACCCUGAGGACGUGAAGGAACAUAGCAAUACCGAGCCCUUAAAAGCCCGGUAAUUGAAAUGGGGGAGAUACAAAUCACCCACCGAGUAACAAUUG
rnacentral:rRNA from 1 species